UUGGUGAACGAAGAUCAGACUCAGAUACAUUCGAUUCAGCAGGUGCGGCUUGUGGAAUAUCAUCUACCUUGUCGGUUUUGGAGUCCUCCUUGUCCUUAAUAGAAUGUUCAACAGCGUCAGACUUUAUAUCUGUCUCUUUCUUCUCGGUCACCACUUCAUUAUUUUCCGCAACCUCAGGUUCCUCCAAUGCUGCUUCCCAAUCAUCAAAGACAGCUUCAGCUUCAGCUUCAUUUUCCUCUUUACGUUCAACCUCUGUCUCUUUUUCCACU